rnacentral:rRNA from 1 species
UACGUAGGGUCCGAGCGUUGUCCGGAAUUAUUGGGCGUAAAGAGCUCGUAGGCGGCUCGGUAAGUCGGGUGUGAAACCUCCAGGCUCAACCUGGAGACGCCACCUGAUACUGCUGUGGCUAGAGUCCGGUAGGGGAGCGUGGAAUUCCUGGUGUAGCGGUGAAAUGCGCAGAUAUCAGGAGGAACACCAGCGGCGAAGGCGGCGCUCUGGGCCGGAACUGACGCUGAGGAGCGAAAGCGUGGGUAGCAAACAGG